GUUUCGUUUCAUAACCGUUAGCCAUGAAUUUGGCGGUGUCCGCGUUGGGAGGGUGGAGGGUGUGCAAUGGAGCAAUGUUUUUGCUUGAGGGAGGCGGUAAUGGUUUGGGAAUGGGAAGUGGGAGAGUGUGCAGUCGGAGUCGGAGUGAGGUUAGUGGAGUCAGAGUCGGAGUGAGGCUGGAUGGACCUGUGCCCCUAAAAGACGACGUUUUGGAAAAGGAAGUGGUUUUCGAGCAGUGCGUGACGCGGACUCUGUCUCCGGCGUUGACAUUGGAGGAGGGACUUGAGAAACUGAAGGAGGCUCUCCAAAUCUUGAAUUCUCCUUCCCCUUCUUCCCCUACUGGAUUCCUUAGGUUUCAGGUGGCGCUCCCUCCCAGUCCUAAGACCUUCACUUUGUUUUGCUCCCAACCCCACUCCUCCUCGGUCUUUCCUCUCAUUUAUGUUUCCAAGAACGAUGCCGACUCUAAAUCACUCUAUGUCAAUUUGGAUGAUAAUGUGAGUCACCAGAAAGAAAGGUUCUUUUUGGUUUUUCAUCCCUCAGAUUGAGUUAGAUGAGCUGGAAAGUGUUUCCAUUCUGUCAAUGACCCUUGCAUGGGAUGAAUUUUCCUUCUCUACUUUUCAAGAAGCCCAUUAUUCGCUUCAAGUUUCUCUAGACCAGGUGCCUGUGUUCAUGCUGCCUCUGUAAUGGAGCAGGUUAAAGAGUUCCAUUAGAAGAGAUGGUUUUGAGGUAGCAAGUGCUGACAAGAUGGCUAAGUCAUGCAUGGUUUAUUUUGAAAUGCAUUUAUCCCUAAGGAAAAAAAAACUUACAAAAGCUUUUAAUGGUAGUUAUAGUAUCUACAAGGAAACUUUUUGUAACCUGGUCUAUUGCCUUUUUGUUUGAGUAACUGGACAUGCAGGUACGAUAAUUGGAAAUGAAGAUAUCAAUAGUAUUAGGUGGCCCGGUUCUGCAUGGAGACGUCUCAAGGAUACAUUAUACUUGGAGAACAUAGAGGAAAGGGAAACUGGGGGCACGCCUCCAAUAAUCCAGACAGUGAGAGCAUGGGACCUGGUAUUAGGCAUCAUAAAAUUAUACCACUGCUUUGUGCACCAAACCCAUUUACGUAUUUUUACAUUAAAAAAGGACUUCUAUCAUUUUAUAAUAUAUCCAUUGUACUGAUUGUUCACUUUUCUUUGAUGAGAUUGCAAACUUUUGCUUCCCUAUUUCAUUCUUUUAGUCAAUAUUUUGCAUCUCUUGAUAUAGUUGUCCAGUUGAAGUCCACACCAAAGGAAAAGCAGAAGAUGCAAGAGAGGGAUGAUGGAGUGAUAACAGCUAGAAGUGAUACAGAUUGAUAAAUUAAGGUAUCAAGAUGUCUUAUCGAAGGGGUUCCGUUCAGCCGCCGAUAAGGUGGAUACUGCGGACUCAGACUGCUGGGAAUUUAGGAGCCAAUUAAAGAGUAUGAAAGGAUACAUUAUACUUGGAGAACAUAGAGGAAAGGGAAACUGGGGGCACGCCUCCAAUAAUCCAGACAGUGAGAGCAUGGGACCUGUUGUCCAGUUGAAGUCCACACCAAAGGAAAAGCAGAAGAUGCAAGAGAGGGAUGAUGGAGUGAUAGCAGCUAGAAGUGAUACAGAUUGAUAAAUUAAGGUAUCAAGAUGUCUUAUCGAAGGGGUUCCGUUCAGCCGCCGAUAAGGUGGAUACUGCGGACUCAGACUGCUGGGAAUUUAGGAGCCAAUUAAAGAGUAUGAAAGGAUACAUUAUACUUGGAGAACAUAGAGGAAAGGGAAACUGGGGACACGCCUCCAAUAAUCCAGACAGUGAGAGCAUGGGACCUGUUGUCCAGUUGAAGUCCACACCAAAGGAAAAGCAGAAGAUGCAAGAGAGGGAUGAUGGAGUGAUAGCAGCUAGAAGUGAUACAGAUUGAUAAAUUAAGGUAUCAAGAUGUCUUAUCGAAGGGGUUCCGUUCAGCCGCCGAUAAGGUGGAUACUGCGGACUCAGACUGCUGGGAAUUUAGGAGCCAAUUAAAGAGUAUGAAAGGAUACAUUAUACUUGGAGAACAUAGAGGAAAGGGAAACUGGGGACACGCCUCCAAUAAUCCAGACAGUGAGAGCAUGGGACCUGUUGUCCAGUUGAAGUCCACACCAAAGGAAAAGCAGAAGAUGCAAGAGAGGGAUGAUGGUAUGAAUAAUGGAUUUGAACAGUUUCUAUUGGUAUUAGUGGUGCAAGCUACUUCACUGGAACUUUCACUACUGUCGAUCGCUCUACAGAUGGAAGGUAUGUUGUAGUCUCAAGUCGGGGAAACUUCUACUUAACCUGGGAGUCUGGUCAGGUGAGGGUUUUAGUUUGUGAUGGCUUUUGCUUUUGCUUCUAUUUGCCUGGUCUCCUAGAUACUUUUAUUUUUCACUCAACGUUUGACCAUGGAUAAUAAAUUAACGAUCAACUAACAGAAGAACGAAAAUUGCUGAUUUUGAAAAAUAGGGGGAUUGAAUGUCUUGAUUUGGAAAUAGGGGGACCUAAAUUGCGGAUUGAGCAUUAUAGGGGACCGAUAGUGUAUUUUAGCCUUUAUUUUAUUUUGAAUGUGUGAUGAUUUAUUAAUUUCAUUCCUGUGACUUGGUUUGUUGUCAUUCUGUAUGCUGUUGCUAAUACAUGCAUUAUUGGAGUUCAA